rnacentral:rRNA from 1 species
AGAGUUUGAUCCUGGCUCAGGACGAACGCUGGCGGCGCGCCUAAAACAUGCAAGUCGAACGAGAAGCCCGGGCUUGCCCGGGUGGACAGUGGCGAACGGGUGAGUAACACGUGAGGAACCUGCCCCGAAGACCGGGACAACAUCGGGAAACCGGUGCUAAUACCGGAUACCUUCACCGGACCGCAUGAUCUGGUGAAGAAAUGGAUUCCGCUUCGGGAUGGCCUCGCGGCCUAUCAGCUAGUUGGUGAGGUAACGGCUCACCAAGGCGACGACGGGUAGCUGGUCUGAGAGGAUGUCCAGCCACACUGGGACUGAGACACGGCCCAGACUCCUACGGGAGGCAGCAGUUAGGAAUCUUGCGCAAUGGACGAAAGUCUGACGCAGCGACGCCGCGUGCGGGAUGAAGGCCCUCGGGUUGUAAACCGCUUUCAGCAGGGACGAAAUUGACGGUACCUGCAGAAGAAGCCCCGGCCAACUACGUGCCAGCAGCCGCGGUAAUACGUAGGGGGCAAGCGUUGUCCGGAUUUAUUGGGCGUAAAGAGCUCGUAGGUGGUUCGGUAAGUCGGAUGUGAAAUCUCCAGGCUCAACCUGGAGGGGUCAUUCGAUACUGCCGUGACUAGAGGUCGGUAGGGGAGUGUGGAAUUCCUGGUGGAGCGGUGAAAUGCGCAGAUAUCAGGAGGAACACCCGUAGCGAAGGCGGCACUCUGGGCCGAUACUGACACUGAGGAGCGAAAGCGUGGGGAGCGAACAGGAUUAGAUACCCCAGUAGUCC